rnacentral:rRNA from 1 species
UACGAAGGGGGCUAGCGUUGUUCGGAAUCACUGGGCGUAAAGGGUGCGUAGGCGGGCCUUUAAGUCAGGGGUGAAAUCCUGGAGCUCAACUCCAGAACUGCCUUUGAUACUGAAGAUCUUGAGUUCGGGAGAGGUGAGUGGAACUGCGAGUGUAGAGGUGAAAUUCGUAGAUAUUCGCAAGAACACCAGUGGCGAAGGCGGCUCACUGGCCCGAUACUGACGCUGAGGCACGAAAGCGUGGGGAGCAAAAGGG